ensembl:lincRNA Gm42590 predicted gene 42590
AAGAUGACAAAAAAACAGAACAAACCACCAACAAGCAAACACCCUAACCAGCACACUGGCUUUUCUGUCUGAGAAGAAACCUCCUCUCAAGGAUGCUGGUUGUUGACCAUCAACUCCACCAUUGGACCAGGUACAUUGAAGGUGGCUCCAAGUUGUCAUCCUCAUCUGCCCCUUGGCCUGUGUAUUAGUGACAUGUCUUCUUGGGUCUUCCUGCUUCAGCUACUCCAAUCCAGAAACUGCCUCGCAGACAAGCCCAGAGCCUCAUUCCCCAAACUCUGAGUUGACAAUCAAGAUUAAACACCUCACUCUGCCUGCUCAUCUGCACACCUUGCCUGAUAAUCUUUCUGGGGGAAGGUGAUUUUAAUGGGAGGUUCCUGCCCCGUGUGAGUUCCUGUCCUGAUUUCCUUCAAUGAUGGACUGUGAUAUGGAAGUGUAAGCCAAAUGAACCCUUUUCUCCCCAACUUGCUUUUGGGUCAUGGCGUUUCAUCACAGCAGUAGAAAGCCUGACGUUGACAAACUAGUACCAGGAUUAUGGGGUAUUGGUGUUACAGACUUGGCCAUGUUGUAUGGGGAAGGACUGCGGAAGGAGUUUGGAACUUUGUGCAAGAAAAGCCAUUGAGUGCUCAGUCAUGAGCUGUUUGCUGGGAUCUUAGAAAACGAGAAUGUUGAGAUGCGCAGAAGAUGGAAGCCUGGCUUCUGAUAUUCCAUAGGGAUGUUUGAAGAUUCAGUCUGGUCAUGUGUCAUUUUAUAUGAAGAGUCUGUGGUUCUGGUUAGCUGGGGAUGAAGAUCAGCUGUGAUUAACCAGAUACCAGAACUAUAAAAGUGAAACCUUUGCUUUCCUGGGAUAACUGAAGUAGCGGUGAUGAAGAAAAGACCAGCAUUGUGGAGGUGAAAUCUGGGAAGUGUUUUCUGGGUGUCAGCACACAGAAGCUGUGUUCUAGAGGCAGCCAAGGUUGUACUUCAUACUGGCAGCUGGACUUGGUAGUAUGAGUCACCCAGUUGGUACUGGGUUUGAGAGCAUGAAGGAGACAUGAAGGGCAGCUGCGGCUUAGCACUGUGAGAGGCAGGGAAGAUCAUUGGUGAAGGUGCAGCCUCAGUGGCUGUUGAGGGCCCAAGAUUGAAGGGGUCAUGCUGAGAAGUUGAGGCUUGGCACCAUGAAGAGAGCCCAAGAGAGGUAUUGAUGAAAUUGCAGCCCAGUUGCAGCAGAAGACCCCAGGCAUUUUGGAGAUGCCAGUACCAUGGGAUGACCACCAAGAACAGCAGCUGUGGGGGAGUCUGCCAGCACCUAGCAGACAAGCUGUGCUUGCUGCAGAGGGCAGAGCCAGAAAGGUGACCCAAGCCCCUUGGAGGAGCCUAGAAGAUGAGUCCAGCAUGAGUCUGCGACAUGAAGUCACAUCAGGAUACAUCUCCAGGUGGUCAACUAAGCAAUCAUGCUUAGCAAAGGUUGGAAGCUGGGACUGCCUUCGCCGGGGCUGCCACAGUGGCCAGAGGAGAUUUAUUACCGACUGCUAAGGAGUUAGUGGAUAUUAAUGUCUUCCAAUUGAAAGAUGAACUUACACAAGCUAUUUGGCUUUAAUAUUGACAGCGUGGAGAGACAGAAGACCAGCUGGGCUGGGCCACGGCUUCAGCUUAUAUCUCACCAUCUUAGGUAAGAAUUUUGAACAGAUUUAACUGUGAUAUAGAAAUAACUGUGAGCAUGGAUCAUCAGUAGUUAGUUUCCCUAGAAUCUCCCAUUGAAGAGCUGGGGGCGUGGCUCAGUGGUAGAGCACCUGCCUAGAAUCCCCCAGUGAGGGGCUGGGGGCGUGGCUCAGUGGUAGAGCCCCUGCCUAGAAUCCCCCAGGGAGGGACUGGGGAUGUGGCUCAGUGGUAGAGCACUUGCCUAGAAUCCCCCAGUGGGGGGCUAGGGUUGUUGUUUAGCAAUAGAAUGCUUGUCUAACAUACAUAAAACCCUGGAUUUGAUUCCCAGUGUUAGAACAAAUAAACAAGAACAAAAUCCGAACAUAAAAUGAAACAUGUACUGACUAGUGAAAGCCCUGGGGACCCGAUUGGAUCAAAUAUUAAAUUGCUCUUUAGAGAUUCCCCCACAGUCCAAUUGUCUUGGAAAUGCAUAUGGGAGAUGUGUGUCUUCACCAGUGAAGUGGAUAUAAUAUCAGAAAGUCAGAGGAAAUUAAUUAUAAGUCACAUGAGAGAGAGAAAGUUGAAACUGAAUUCCACUCGAUUUCCAAGGACUGGAAAUGAAAGAAUUUUGAAAGUAUUAUCAGAUAGACACAUUUUAUGUUUAAAAAGUGUGUGUGUGUGUGUGUGUGUGUGUGUGUGUGUGUGUGUGUGUUUGUGUUUGUAUUACAGUCUACCUGUGGUCAUCAGGGGACAACUUGUGGUGGUCCUCUCCUUCUUCUAUGGAGGCUCUGCACAUUGAACUCAGGACACCAGGCUUUGUGGCAAUUGAAUUUACCCUCUGAGCCAUCUUGCAGGCCCGUGGGUACACUUACAAUAGUUUAAAUGGGUAAUGAGGACUGGGGAGUCAACUCAGUGGCUAGGAUUGCAUGGUGUUUGUUUUUACAGAGAACUCAUAGGAGUUCAGUGUCAGCACCUGUGCCUGGCAUCUUGGAGCUGCCUGGGCUCCUCAGACAACUGCACUCAUGUGCACAGACCCACACAUAGACCCCUCACACAUAAUCAAACAUUUAAAAGAAAUUGGCGAUGAAUAGGAAGAAUUAAAAUUUUAAUUAUAUGGGACUGGAGAGAUGGCUCAGUGGUUAAGAGCUCUGACUGCUUUUCCGGAGGUCCUGAGUUCAAUUCCCAGCAACCACAUGGUAGCUCACAACCAUCUGUAAUGGGAUAUAAUGUCCUCUUCUGGUGUGUCUAAAGUCAGCUACAGUGUACUCACAUACAUAAAAUAAAUAGAUCUUUUUUUUUAAAGGAUAAAAAAAUGUAAUAAUGCUUCAUAUAUACAUUUAUAUAAACAUAUGUAUACACAGACAUAUGGAACACAUACACAGUGUCUUUGUUAGGAUUUCUAUUGUCAUAAUAAGCACCAUGCUCAAAAACAACUUGUGGAGGGAAGGGUUUAUUUCAGUUUACACUUUCACAUCACUGUGGGGAGUAGGGCAGGAAUUUAAAGUCAAGAGGCAGAAGCUGAUGCAGAGGCCAUGGAGUGGUUCUUACUGGCUUGUUCCCCAGGCUUGCUUAGUCUGUCUGUCUGUCUGUCUGUCUGUCUGUCUGUAUGUAUGUGUUUAAAUUUAUAGUUCCUAUGACCUCUAGCUUGGGCAUGGAACUUCCUUUUGUGAGCUAGACCCUCCCACAUCAACAAUCAAUCAAGAUAACACACAGCAGCCUUGCCUACAGGCCAAUCACAUUAGUGUAUUUUCUCAAUCAAGUUCCCUCUUCCCAAAUGACUCUAGCAUAAAACUGGUUAGCUCAUGCACGCACACACACACACACACACACACACACACACACACACACACACACACAGGUUCUAUAAAGCUUCCUGGAGAAAGACUCCAUUUUUAACCUUUCUCAUCUGAAAUACUGUUCCAACCUGGUACCAGAUACAAACGUGCCCGAGUGAGACCAUAUUAGUCACUUUGCCAUCACUGUGACAAAAUAUCCAACAGAAACAACGUAAGUGUGUAUGUGGGGCAUGAGAGGAAGUUUAUUUGGGCUUGCUGUUGCCAACGGUCUCAGUGCAUCGUGUCGGGAAGCUAUGAUGGGUGCUCCCUUAUAACAUGGCUGAUAAAACUAGAACACUCUUCCAGAGCUAAAGACUGCCUUUCAAGGCCAACUUCCUCUAGUUAGCUCCACCUCUAAAGGCUCUGUAGCCCUUUGAGAGCAUCACCCAGUGGCGGACUAGCUUCAGUGCAUGUUUAUGUGGGCCACUCACUGAUAAUGUCUAAUGAGGGAACCUAUGGGGUUGUGUGGGCAAGAACACUGAGUGUUGCUCUGGAUGAGAAAUGUCCUACGUGUAAUUGAAAACUUGGUCCUAGUUGAUGCUGCUCUUUGGGAAGGUUCCGGACCCUUUAAGAGGCGGAACCUUGCUGGAGGAAGUAAAUGACUGCGGGGUAAGCUUUGAGGAUUUAUAAUCUGGCUCCACUUCCUGUUCUCUUCUCUGUACUUCCUGUGUAUGGAUGCAGCGUGACCAGCCACCUUCUACCUUCCGCUACCAUAUAUUUUCUAGCCUGAUACCAUGUCUCCCCUGCUGUGAUAGAUUUUAUCUGUCUGGAGCUAUAAGCCAAAAUAAACCCACGUUUCCCUGAA